CCUUUUGUCAGCAGGCCGCACACGCGCCGGACCGGGUACCGCUGUGCCCGGCCUGGCCGCGGCCUAGUCCCGGCAGACGGGACUGACGAGGUCACCAAGCCCAGGCCGAGACGGCGCGGGUGUCAGGGACUUGGGAAUCCCCCUCCCCCAGUCCCGAUCCCGCUUUCCUUUGGGGUUUCACCUCAGAGGACCCGACAGCACUCUUGCAGUUUCCUCAUCCUCAAGAUGGACUGCACCUUCUGGCAUCUCAAGUGGUUCUUGUGAAGAUUAAAUGAAUCCAUCAGGCCGGGUGCGGUGGCUCACGCCUGUAAUCCCAGCACUUUGGGAGGCCGAGACGAGCGCAUCACCUGAGGUCAGGAGUUCCAGACCAGCCUGGCCAACAAGGUGAAACCCCAUCUCUACUAAAAAUACAAAAAGUUAGCCAGGUGUGGUGGCUCAUGCUUGUAGUCCCAGCUACGUGGGAGGCUGAGGCAGGCGAAUCACUUGAACCCAGGAGGCGGAGGUUGCAGUGAGCCAAGAUUGUGCCAUUGCACUCCAGCCUGGGGGAUAGAGUGAGACUCCAUCUCAAAAAAAAUAAAUAAAUAAAUAAAUAAAUGGAUCAA
rnacentral:lncRNA from 10 species